CUUAUCGUGCCCGAUUUCUGACUCUCCUUCAACUCCGCUUCCGUUUCUGCUCUUGAAUUUCGCCAUGAAACUGAGCUCGUUAACCGCAACACAAAUCUGUUCCACGCUGGAAACCGUAUCGAUCAUCGCCGCGGCAACAGGACUGAGAAGAGCUCUGGAAAGUUGAAGCGUGAAGAAAUAAGAGCAGAAAACCACCAGUUGGACUGGGGAGGAGAUGAUGGGGGCAGUGUGCUAAAAUGCGCCAUUAUGAUUAACCAAUGAGAGGUAGGUGAUGGAAACAGGCCUUGAGUUUGGAUGGAAUUGCCUUGGUUGCCACUGGGGUAGGCGUAGGGGGUGGGGGUGUUUUUGUCUGCUUUUUGUGUGUUUUUUUUCAACUAAAUUCAGGGGGGAGGCAGUCAGAAUUUUGUAUCUGUAUUUUGGAACUGUUAUAAAGAAUCUUUGGAAUUUUUGUUCAGUCAAGACUCAAGAACUGUCUUCUCUAUA